rnacentral:rRNA from 1 species
GUUUGAUCCUGGCUCAGAUUGAACGCUGGCGGUAUGCCUAACACAUGCAAGUCGAACGAGGUAGCAAUACCUAGUGGCGGACGGGUGAGGAAUACGUAGGGAUCUGCCUUUAAGUGGGGGAUAACCCGGGGAAACCCGGAUUAAUACCGCAUGAUCUCGCAAGAGCAAAGUGGGGGAUCGCAAGACCUCACGCUUUUAGAGGAACCUACGUCGGAUUAGCUUGUUGGUGAGGUAAUGGCUCACCAAGGCGACGAUCCGUAACUGGUCUGAGAGGAUGAUCAGUCACACCGGAACUGAGACACGGUCCGGACUCCUACGGGAGGCAGCAGUGGGGAAUAUUGGACAAUGGGCGAAAGCCUAAUCCAGCAAUACCGCGUGUGUGAAGAAG